rnacentral:rRNA from 1 species
UACGUAGGGUGCGAGCGUUAAUCGGAAUUACUGGGCGUAAAGCGUGCGCAGGCGGUUCGUUAUGUCCGAUGUGAAAGCCCCGAGCUUAACUUGGGAAUGGCAUUGGAAACUGGCGGGCUGGAGUGCGGCAGAGGGGGGUGGAAUUCCACGUGUAGCAGUGAAAUGCGUAGAGGUGUGGAGGAACACCGAUGGCGAAGGCAGCCCCCUGGGCCGACACUGACGCUCAGGCACGAAAGCGUGGGGAGCAAACAGG